GACGAACGCUGGCGGCGUGCUUAACACAUGCAAGUCGAACGGAAAGGCCCUGCUUUUGUGGGGUGCUCGAGUGGCGAACGGGUGAGUAACACGUGAGUAACCUGCCCUUGACUUUGGGAUAACUUCAGGAAACUGGGGCUAAUACCGGAUAGGAGCUCCUGCUGCAUGGUGGGGGUUGGAAAGAUUCGGCGGUUGUGGAUGGACUAGCAGCUUAGCAGCUUGUUGGUGGGGUAGUGGCUGACCAAGGCUUUGAGGGGUAGCCGGCCCGCGCGGGUGACCGGCGACAUGGGUACUGAGGGACGGCCCAGUCGGGUACGGUACGCAGCAGGGGGAAAUCUUGCAGAAUGAGCGCAAGCGUGAUGCGGAAGCGCCGCGUGCGGGAAGACGGCCUUCUGGGGGAAAACCGAUUUGGACUGUAACGAAGAGUGAGUGACGGUAAUGGGUAAAGAAGCACCGGCUAACUACGUG
rnacentral:rRNA from 1 species